UGAUAUAUCCAGCUAAGCAUACACACACACACAUACACGCACACAUUGAAACGUUGGCGGAAAUCAUUUAAGCUGCCAAAUCAGCCAAGCAGCUGGGCCAAAGCUGGCGUCAAGCUGAAGGUAUUAUUAAGGUAGUGACUGCGGCUGAGGCUGUGGCAGCGGCAGCAGAAUGGCCAGAUGCCGGGGCAAAAAAGGCGAUUAAUAUUCAUUCAGUGUCGCGCGUAUAUCACUUUUUAUUUGCACAGCCAACGAGCGCGCGCCGGCAAGUAUGCAAUGGAAUUCGCCGCACGCAGCAGCAGCCACCGCACCCAGCUCCCAAAUCGCCAAAGAGCAAUCGUGCAGCAACAGACCAGACCGAACCCCAACAGAACCAAAGCAGACCAGCACAAUAGCCGACUCGGUCUGUGCGUGUAUGUUUGUGCCUGUGUGUGUGUAUGUGAAAAUCUCUUCGCUUUUGGACGCCCGCUUCCCCAAGGAGACGUGCACUUCGAAUUGGAUGCCCAAACAUCAAGUCAGCGUGCUGCGAGUCUGCCAAGACGAAAGCACUUGCAGAUGCAAUUUCGCAGCCUUUCGAUGCCCGAUGCUCGGGUAUUUUUCGGUUUCUAUGUGAAAAUUGAGAAAAAUUGCCAAACGACUUGACACUGCCAGCAAGUCACAAAGGCAGAAACGAUGUUGCGUCAAAUCAAAUGAAAUUCGACUGCUGUCCAGCGUGUUGCGUUACAGUUGAAAUGUGGGCGGGCCAAUGGGCACGGCCCACAAAAUUACCACUGGGAUCAGAGCAAAUGACGCGAAACAGUCACACGAGCAGGACCAAAGCAGAGAGUGAGCGAGAGAUUGUGGGCGGUAAAGCGAGUAGCAGCAACAACAAAAACAUGCCUUACAUAACAAGUAACGGGUGCUCCAGUUGAGGUUGGCUGACUAGAAGAUGCCCUGUACUUCCGUAUGCAUAAAGCAAAGAUCAAGGCUAUGCUAUCAUACAUUUGCUGCCUUUAGGUCAGGUAAACCUUGACUGAAAAUCUAUAGUUGUCGAACUGUUCCAUGGUUUGAAUAGGAGAAACUAAAUUCCAAUUUGAAGUCUCUAGAUCGAAGAGUUCAUAUUAACUGCAGUCAAUAAUACUCA